AAAAAUUAGUGACCGUAUUCGUAUGUCAUUUUUCUUGUCCCAUAAUUCCAUUAGUAUU
rnacentral:sRNA from 1 species